CAAAGGAUUCCAGCCACCACCUCCUUCCAAACCCAGUUCCUGGCUAGUCCCUACCCCGUGCCGAGCGGGCCCCUCGGGGAAUGCUUUCGGAGAACCGGGGGGCGGAUUCGGCGCGCCGGAGCUCGGCGUGCGCGAAGGCCCGCGGGGGAAAGCUGGCCCAGGAGCACCGGGGCCCCUCGAGCUGCUCCGUACCUGGGAGCGCCCCAGGCCGGGGAGGCCGCGCGGAGCCGGCGGGGGCCUCACUCUGGGCCCCUGGCGGCGGGGCGGUCCUGGGCUGGCGCAGCGGCGGCGGCUGCAGGAAGCCCGGGGCUUUGGGCUGCGGCGGUGGCUGGUGCUGCGACCGCUCCGCAGGCCCCGCUCCGUUCGGGAACCCGCCGCCCUCAGGCCCGCCCCCUCCGCGGCCCAGGCCCCGGCUCCGGCCCCGACCAGCACCUGGAGCCCGAUCGAAACUGUCCGACAUGCUCCUUGCUCUCCAACGGGGCCGCCGCCGCUGCUCCGAAUAGGACGCGCGGGAGGCGCCGCGGGCCGCCUGUCACCGCUGUGCCUCACUCAGGCCUCAUGGAGGAGGCCGGCGGGCCCUGCUCGGU
rnacentral:lncRNA from 1 species